rnacentral:rRNA from 1 species
UACGUAGGGUGCGAGCGUUGUCCGGAAUUAUUGGGCGUAAAGAGCUCGUAGGCGGUUUGUCGCGUCGAAUGUGAAAUCCCGGGGCUCAACUCCGGGCCUGCAUUCGAUACGGGCAGACUAGAGUUCGGUAGGGGAGUCUGGAAUUCCUGGUGUAGCGGUGAAAUGCGCAGAUAUCAGGAGGAACACCGGUGGCGAAGGCGGGACUCUGGGCCGAUACUGACGCUGAGGAGCGAAAGCGUGGGGAGCAAACAGG